GCUGGUGUAGCUGAUGACUGAACUUUUUUCCCCAUCAGAGCGAUAGUGUUGAUUACUCAUCACUGUAGCCAGGUCCUGUCUGAUGCACCGGC
rfam:Colinus virginianus strain Texas jcf7180006226952, whole genome shotgun sequence.